UACGUAGGGUGCGAGCGUUGCCCGGAUUUAUUGGGCGUAAAGGGCGCGUAGGCGGCCACGCACGUCCGUUGUGAAAUCGCUCGGCUCAACUGGGCGGGGUCAGCGGAUACGGCGUGGCUAGAGCAAGCUAGGGGGCAAUGGAAUUCCCGGUGUAGUGGUGGAAUGCGUAGAGAUCGGGAGGAACACCAGUGGCGAAGGCGGUGGCCUGGACCGAUGCUGACGCGUG
rnacentral:rRNA from 1 species